UACGUAGGUGACAAGCGUUGUCCGGACUUACUGGGCGUAAAGAGCGCGCAGGCGGUCGUUCAAGUCGAGUGUGAAAGCCCCCGGCUCAACUGGGGAGGGUCAUUCGAUACUGAUCGACUCGAAGGCAGGAGAGGGUAGUGGAAUUCCCGGUGUAGUGGUGAAAUGCGUAGAUAUCGGGAGGAACACCAGUGGCGAAGGCGACUACCUGGCCUGUUCUUGACGCUGAGGCGCGAAAGCUAGGGGAGCAAACGGG
rnacentral:rRNA from 1 species